CGGACGGGUGAGGAAUACAUCGGAAUCUACUCUGUCGUGGGGGAGUAACGUAGGGAAACUUACGCUAAUACCGCAUACGACCUACGGGUGAAAGCAGGGGAGUCUUCGGACCUUGCGCGAUUGAAUGAGCCGAUGUCGGAUUAGCUAGUUGGCGGGGUAAAUGCUCACCAAGGCGACGAUCCGUAGCUGGUCUGAGAGGAUGAUCAGCCACACUGGAACUGAGACACGGUCCAGACUCCUACGGGAGGCAGCAGAG
rnacentral:rRNA from 1 species